CUGGCGGGAAUUUUCUAUUGGUCUAAUUUUUCAACUCUUGUGGAAGGAUCCAUUUUGGUAUAAAAAUAGUGCUCUGAACGGCUGUUAACACAUUUGAUUUGAAAGUUUCGUCGAAAAGAAAUCUAAUAACUGUAGCAGAAAAUUUGAACAACCUAAGGUUUAGAGAAAGCAAUGUAAAGCAUUUCUUUAAAAUGAUAACACAACUUAAAGAAAUCAAAAACUUUUCCAAUAUAACAUUAGCCAUAGCCAUGCUUACAUCAAUUACAGAUAACUUUUCAUUUUUCCAAAAACUGGUUAUGAUGUUGGAUGCCAUUUCUUUUAACAAUAAGUUGUAACUGCAUGAAUCCCAAUUAUAAGCACACUAAACUUCUAAGUGUAUUCUAAGUCAUACACCAUAUAUAUAACAAAUUUGUGAAGAAAAUUUUGAUUAAAAAUAAUUUUACUCAUCUGUACUCUGUAGGUCCUAUGUAUUGCACAAACGCUGCACUAGGACUGAAGACAAACACUGCACUUGGACUGAAGACAAACACUGCACUUGGACUGAAGACAAACACUGCACUUGGACUGCACUUGGACUGAAGACCAACACUGCACUUUGACUGAAGACAAACACUGCACUUUGACUGAAGACAAACACUGCACUUUGACUGAAGACAAACACUGCACUUUGACUGAAGACAAACACUGCACUUUGACUGAAGACAAACACUGCACUUUGACUGAAGACAAACACUGCACUUUGACUGAAGACAAACACUACACAUAGACUAAAGACUUAAGACAUAAUAUCCAAGUUUAAUGGGACUAGGGACCACUGGAACUAGCUCCCUCAAAAAACAGAUUCAUUAUUGACCUCUAUAUUGAUGUGUUAUGAUGAAAUCAUGCUUUUGAUAGUUGCAUUGAUAAAUAAUCGUGCAUUAAAACAUUGGAUUGACUUUGACCCAAGACUUAUUAUAGUUUCUCCACAGUAUAAAUGAGUUUGCCAAUUUGAAGUGUUUAGAAAAUUGAAUUUUAUUAUUUACCAAUUUGUGAAAUUUGAUAGCAUGGCUAAUGGCUGGUGCACCAAAAUAGAUUUUCAUAAUUGGCUGUAUUUUCACUGAUAAAAAUUCUGAAAAAUUGUAACAGCAAAAAGCUUCUGUUUAAAGCAGAUAUAAAUUAAGAGCUUUUGUUAAAUUUCUUUAAUUUAUGUUGCCCUCCUUGAUGGAAGAAGACCCAUUCAUGGCAGAUAGCAAGAGUCAUAAUAUACCCAAAUAUGUUCCACUCCAACGAGAGGGAUUUCAUGGUGAAAAACUACCGGGAAGAGUCGCAUAUACCCAAAUAUGUUCCACUCCAACGAGAGGGAUUUCGUGGUGAAUAACACUCCAGGAUGAGUCGCAUAUACCCAAAUAUGUUCCACUCCAACGAGAGGGAUUUCAUGGUGAAAAACUACCGGGAAGAGUCGCAUAUACCCAAAUAUGUUCCACUCCAACGAGAGGGAUUUCAUGGUGAAUAACUACCAGGAAGAGUCGCAUAUACCCAAAUAUGUUCCACUCCAACGAGAGGGAUUUCAUGGUGAAAAACUACCGGGAAGAGUCGCAUAUACCCAAAUAUGUUCCACUCCAACGAGAGGGAUUUCAUGGUGAAAAACUACCGGGAAGAGUCGCAUAUACCCAAAUAUGUUCCACUCCAACGAGAGGGAUUUCAUGGUGAAAAACUACCGGGAAGAGUCGCAUAUACCCAAAUAUGUUCCACUCCAACGAGAGGGAUUUCAUGGUGAAAAACUACAGGGAAGAGUCGCAUAUACCCAAAUAUGUUCCACUCCAACGAGAGGGAUUUCAUGGUGAAAAACUACCGGGAAGAGUCGCAUAUACCCAAAUAUGUUCCACUCCAACGAGAGGGAUUUCAUGGUGAAAAACUACCGGGAAGAGUCGCAUAUACCCAAAUAUGUUCCACUCCAACGAGAGGGAUUUCAUGGUGAAAAACUACCGGGAAGAGUCGCAUAUACCCAAAUAUGUUCCACUCCAACGAGAGGGAUUUCAUGGUGAAAAACUACCGGGAAGAGUCGCAUAUACCCAAAUAUGUUCCACUCCAACGAGAGGGAUUUCAUGGUGAAAAACUACCGGGAAGAGUCGCAUAUACCCAAAUAUGUUCCACUCCAAUGAGAGGGAUUUCAUGGUGAAAAACUACCGGGAAGAGUCGCAUAUACCCAAAUAUGUUCCACUCCAACGAGAGGGAUUUCAUGGUGAAAAACUACCGGGAAGAGUCGCAUAUACCCAAAUAUGUUCCACUCCAACGAGAGGGAUUUCAUGGUGAAAAACUACCGGGAAGAGUCGCAUAUACCCAAAUAUGUUCCACUCCAACGAGAGGGAUUUCAUGGUGAAAAACUACCGGGAAGAGUCGCAUAUACCCAAAUAUGUUCCACUCCAACAAGAGGGAUUUCAUGGUGAAAAACUACCGGGAAGAGUCGCAUAUACCCAAAUAUGUUCCACUCCAACGAGAGGGAUUUCAUGGUGAAAAACUACCGGGAAGAGUCGCAUAUACAGCCUACAUAUGUUGUGCUACUGAACAAUGAAUAUUGUUUCAUGGUAGAUGGAUCUCACAUCAGAAUGUUUAGCAUGUAUGGAUUUGAUACAGCCAAAAUAUAUUAAACUCCUAGACAAUGAAGAUGCUUUCAUGGUAUACAACACUUGAGGAUUAUUGACAUAUGCAGCCUAUAUAUGUUACUCCUCUCCAAUGAAGAUAGUUUCAUUGUAGAUAGUGCAUAAGUCACAUAUCCAGCCUGAAUAUGUUGGCACUCCUUUACCAUGAAAGAUGCUUGCAUUGUAGAUAACACAUAAGAAUGAGUUACAUAUACAGCCUCAAUAUGUAACACUCCUUUACCAUGAAAGCACAUUGGGACAAGUUGCAUAUUCAACUUAAAACAGAUGAUGUUUCAGUCGUAUCAGGUGCAGCAUGACAGCCAAACAGUUGAACUGAUUAUUGUGAUGAGACAAUUUAUUGCUUUGGAAAAUCUAAUUAUAUAGUUUAUAGAUUUAGAUAAUAAAAUUCUGUAAUGUUCAUAAUAUCAGAUGAUAAUUUGUUAAGUGCCC